rnacentral:rRNA from 1 species
AUCCCUUCGGUAGUUUUAACAUGUCAAGUCGAACGGCAGCACGGAGCUUGCUCUGGUGGCGAGUGGCGAACGGGUGAGUAAUAUAUCGGAACGUACCCUGGAGUGGGGGAUAACGUAGCGAAAGUUACGCUAAUACCGCAUACGAUCUAAGGAUGAAAGUGGGGGAUCGCAAGACCUCAUGCUCGUGGAGCGGCCGAUAUCUGAUUAGCUAGUUGGUAGGGUAAAAGCCUACCAAGGCAUCGAUCAGUAGCUGGUCUGAGAGGACGACCAGCCACACUGGAACUGAGACACGGUCCAGACUCCUACGGGAGGCAGCAGUGGGGAAUUUUGGACAAUGGGCGAAAGCCUGAUCCAGCAAUGCCGCGUGAGUGAAGAAGGCCUUCGGGUUGUAAAGCUCUUUUGUCAGGGAAGAAACGGUGAGAGCUAAUAUCUCUUGCUAAUGACGGUACCUGAAGAAUAAGCACCGGCUAACUACGUGCCAGCAGCCGCGGUAAUACGUAGGGUGCAAGCGUUAAUCGGAAUUACUGGGCGUAAAGCGUGCGCAGGCGGUUUUGUAAGUCUGAUGUGAAAUCCCCGGGCUCAACCUGGGAAUUGCAUUGGAGACUGCAAGGCUAGAAUCUGGCAGAGGGGGGUAGAAUUCCACGUGUAGCAGUGAAAUGCGUAGAUAUGUGGAGGAACACCGAUGGCGAAGGCAGCCCCCUGGGUCAAGAUUGACGCUCAUGCACGAAAGCGUGGGGAGCAAACAGGAUUAGAUACCCUGGUAGUCCACGCCCUAAACGAUGUCUACUAGUUGUCGGGUCUUAAUUGACUUGGUAACGCAGCUAACGCGUGAAGUAGACCGCCUGGGGAGUACGGUCGCAAGAUUAAAACUCAAAGGAAUUGACGGGGACCCGCACAAGCGGUGGAUGAUGUGGAUUAAUUCGAUGCAACGCGAAAAACCUUACCUACCCUUGACAUGGC